GACAGAGGAUGCAAGCGUUAUCCGGAAUGAUUGGGCGUAAAGCGUCUGUAGGUGGCUUUUAAGUCCGCCGUCAAAUCCCAGGGCUCAACCCUGGACAGGCGGUGGAAACUACCAAGCUGGAGUACGGUAGGGGCAGAGGGAAUUUCCGGUGGAGCGGUGAAAUGCGUAGAUAUCGGGAAGAACACCAAAGGCGAAAGCACUUUGCUGGGCCGAAACUGACACUGAUAGACGAAAGCUAGGGGAGCAAAUGGG
rnacentral:rRNA from 1 species